AAUAAUCUGUUUGCUGGCUAUGCUUGAAAUUCUAUCACUGGACAUUCAAUGCUAUUGCCCAAGAUAUUUCUUGGCUAAUAUGGAAAUCUUACUAGAGGGAAUAAAUGAUCAGAUAAUAGUAAUCACAACUAACACUUUCUGAUAACUUACAAUGUUCAAGAGGGUUCUAAGUACUUUAUAUUAUUAACUCUUAGUCCUCAAAACAAGCAAUUAAUUAUCACCACUUUACCAAACAAAAACAAAGACAAGAAAACACUAAAGCAAGAACAGAGAAGUUAAUUUGCCCAAAGUUGUAGUUAAUAUAAGGCAGAGGCAAGGUGGUUUGACUUCAGAGAUCUUGGUCUGAACCCCUAUUAGUGUGCAUAAGCUUAACGUAGCCAGGAGCGGGAAGAGAGAAGGAGAACCAGGAAAGUUGAGAGAGAUGGAGUCUGCACUCUCUGGAGCUUUCCCUCAGAACUCACAAAUCAGCCUGGGGCAGGGAGUGGGGGUGGCCUGUCGCUGCACGCCUGCCACCCAGUGCUCCUUAAAAUCACUCCCAUGACAUGUCAUUGAUGCUAUAAGUGUGUCACAGAAAGCCAUCAAGGUCAAAAUUAUUUAUAUAACAAUACACAUUGGUGACCAUUUUCGCUGAUAUUUGCAGCAAUGAUACAAGGCAAAGAGUGGGUUAAACGGCUGGCAACUCGGCAUAAAUAAAAGCAAUGGCACCAAAAAUUGAAUUCUCUGAUUCACAGUUGCAGUAAAAAUAUGCCAGUUUCACUUUGGAAUGCCCUUGGUGAGGCAGUAAAAAUGAUUGAUUACUAAUUUUAUUAAAUGUUGACCACAAGUACAUGUGUUUUUGUCUGUUUGCUUGUUUAUUUGUUUGUUUUGGCCACACCCACAGCAGGCUGAAGUUCCCAGGCCAGGGAUCAACCCGUGCCAAAUCUGCACCCUGAGCUACAGCAGUGACAAUGCCAGAUCCUUAACCCACUGAGCCACCAGGGAAUUCCAGUACAUGUGUUUUUUAAACAUUCUCUGUAAUAAAAUAGGGAAUAUGCAUAAAGCAUUUCUACUGAGUACCCAGAGUACCAGAGCUGCCUUAAGGGAAAAUGGUCAUAAUGAUUAUUUAAGUUAGACGUUAAACUAGCCACAUUUUUCAUGGAAUACUGUUUUUUACUUGAAAGAAUAACAGAUCAACUUGGAUAUAUAGAUACACUAUCUAAAAUGAGUCUAUUAUCACUCCAAGGAAAGUAAAGGAUAAGAUUUAGUGCUGAUGAGAUUUUGAGAUUUUGAGAGAAAAUUAGAAUUUUGGGAAACUUUCACUGGCCAUUGGGAGCUUCUCUGUUUCCUAAAAUUUGAAGACUUUUCUGAUGAGCUCCGUAAUGAUGAAUAAAUAUGACUUUUUAAUAUUUUAUAAUGAAACAUGUUAGAAAAUAUACAUAACUUAUUGAAUCUUUUUUUUCCUGUUAUAAAAAAUGGCAUUACAGGAAUGAUGUUACAGAAUCAUGGUGAUAUACAUGAGUCAUACAGAAUCAUACAAUGUGUAACAUUACAGAAUCAUGUAUGGGUAAAAAUCCAUUGAAGGUAUUAUAUAGACCAAUGAAUUUUGAUAUAACAGUGUACAAAAAGUUCAUUGAUAUUUCAAAUUCCACGUUAAAACUAGCCUUGAAGAAACUAUCACCUGUUGAGUUUGACUAAUGUAUAAAGAAAGAAAUUCACAAAUAUCUGAAAAACCUAAUAAAAUGCAUUUUCCUUUCCCAACUACACAUAACUGAGAGGCUGAAUUUUCUUCAUGUGCUUCAACCAAACAAAAUAUUUUGACACAUUACAGAAGCAUAUAUAAAAAUUUACAUUGUGGUGCAGCUGAAAUGAAUCUGACUAGUAUCCAUGAGGAUGUGGGUUCAAUCCCUGUUCCCACUCAGUGGACUGGGGAUUGAGCCUUGCCCUGAGCUACAGUGUAAGUCGCAGACUCGGCUUGGAUCCCACUUUGCUGUGGCAAUGGUGCAGGCUGGCAGGUAGCUGUAGCUCUGAUUGGACCUCUAGCCUGGGAACUUCCAUAUGCCACGGAUGCAGCCCUAAAAAGCAAAAAAGCAAAAAACAAACAAACAAAAAAACCUCAACAGAUAUAAAAAUAACCAGAUCAAAAAAUCCAGCUAUCUUCUAUUGAGUCAGAUGUCUAAGAGUUUUUCCAAAAGUGUAAAACAAUGUUUUGUUUUGUUUUGUUUUUUCUGUUGGGGGAUGGAAUAUAGCUUUAGAACUAUAUAGUUACGAAUGUUCAUGUUAACAUGUAAUGGGUUUAUUAUUAUUCUUAAAUGAAUUAAAUAAGUAUUUUUCAGUUGCUGUUUUAAUUUUGAACACAGUAAAUAUCAUAGAUGUAAUCUACAUUAAAGUUCUUUGAAACCUGCAGUAUUAUUUUCAUAGGUAAGGGAAAUCCAGAGACCAUAAAACUUGAGAACCACUGAAGCAUCUUUUUGUAUGGAUUUGGCUUCUGACGAUAGAAUGUCCACCUGACAGUGGCUUAAUAGGUAGAAUAUAUUCUUCUCUUUGAAGAAUUUUAGUUAGAGGGAACAGUCCUCCACACAAGUUUGUCAUCUCUCUUCUGACAUCAGUUGCAAGGUGGAAGUGUUUGGAAAGCCACCUUAGUUUCAAUAAUUCACUAGAAGAACUCGGAGAACAGAUUGAAGCUUUUACGCUCAUAGUUUAUCACAGAAGAAAGCAUUCAGGUUUAAAGUCAGUCAAGAUAGAGUGAAGAUGCGGAGCAUCCAGUCAUUCUGUCCCUGUGGGGUCAAGGACACUGCUAACUCUUCUGGGCCACUAUGUGUGAAAACACCCAUACACUAUUGCCAACCUGGUGAAAUACACCCAAGACUCAGUGUCCAGAGUUCUUAUCAAGACUUAAUCAUGGAGUUGCCUUGUGGCUCAGUGGGCUGCGAGACCUACACAGUGUUCGUAUGGAUGCGAGUUAUUCCCUGGCCUCACUUAGUGGGUUAAAGAUUGGGUGUUGCUGCAAGCUGCCAUGUAGGUUGCAGAUGUGGCCUGGAUCCAGCAUUGCUGUGGUUGUGGCGUAGGCUGAUGGCUGCAGCUCUGAUCUGGCCCCUAGCCUGGGAACUUAUAUAUGCCACAAGGGUGGCCUUAAAAACAAACAAACAAACAAAAGACUCAAUCACAUACUGCCUGUAUGGCUGCUCUGGACUUUCCAAACCCUUCAGAGGUCAGACUGAUAAACACUCAAUCUCCAGUCCAACCAGAGGCAGAACUGAUUCCACUACCUUGCCCCCAAAGCCCCCACUGUAAACCACAUUAUUAAACUGCUAGUGGCCAAAGACCCCAGACAAAGAAACACCCUUACAGCAGGAUCUAAGGACCUAGAGAUCACUGCCCAGUGGUCAGGGGCAAAGGCCAGGCUUCUCCUUCGGCAAGGCUGAUUCCUCAUUACACGUUCUUGUAAUAAGGAAACUUGAAUCCGGUGGUAACAUGGCUGGUUCAGGAUGUCAGCAUCGUCUCAAGGACCUAGGCUCUGAUGUUUACCCACCAUCAUCAUUGCGUUGGCUUUUUUCUCAUUCUUGUCAC
rnacentral:lncRNA from 1 species